rnacentral:rRNA from 1 species
GACGAACGCUGGCGGCGUGCCUAAUACAUGCAAGUAGAACGCCGAAGAGAGGAGCUUGCUCUUCUUGGAAGAGUUGCGAACGGGUGAGUAACGCGUAGGUAACCUGCCUUGUAGCGGGGGAUAACUAUUGGAAACGAUAGCUAAUACCGCAUAACAAUGGGUGACCCAUGUCAUUCAUUUGAAAGGGGCAACUGCUCCACUACAAGAUGGACCUGCGUUGUAUUAGCUAGUAGGUGAGGUAACGGCUCACCUAGGCGACGAUACAUAGCCGACCUGAGAGGGUGAUCGGCCACACUGGGACUGAGACACGGCCCAGACUCCUACGGGAGGCAGCAGUAGGGAAUCUUCGGCAAUGGGGGCAACCCUGACCGAGCAACGCCGCGUGAGUGAAGAAGGUUUUCGGAUCGUAAAGCUCUGUUGUAAGUCAAGAACGAGUGUGAGAGUGGAAAGUUCACACUGUGACGGUAGCUUACCAGAAAGGGACGGCUAACUACGUGCCAGCAGCCGCGGUAAUACGUAGGUCCCGAGCGUUGUCCGGAUUUAUUGGACGUAAAGCGAGCGCAGGCGGUUUGAUAAGUCUGAAGUUAAAGGCUGUGGCUCAACCAUAGUUUGCUUUGGAAACUGUCAAACUUGAGUGCAGAAGGGGAGAGUGGAAUUCCAUGUGUAGCGGUGAAAUGCGUAGAUAUAUGGAGGAACACCGGUGGCGAAAGCGGCUCUCUGGUCUGUAACUGACGCUGAGGCUCGAAAGCGUGGGGAGCGAACAGG